rnacentral:lncRNA from 1 species
CGCACUCCGCGGUCCGCUCCUACGCCUCGGAUGGAGCUGGGGAAAUGAACGGAUUAUCUAUUCACGAAAACAUUCAGUUAAUAGACCUUCUUAAAUUUUCGUAGGCCUAGAUCCCUAAAUUAGACUGCCUAAAAUUAUUUUAGACUCGAGAAUUCAGCAGAACCUCCUAUAAAUUGCAGACAUUUAAUCCACGUACAACAAGUCCAGAACCUACUAGAAACACUUCAAAUAUUCUGUGAUUAAUUAACAGGAGUCCGACCACCAAAACUGCAUUAUUUUUCCAACUCUACAACAUAUAACAAAUCACAAUUAAUUAAAUUCAAUUAAUUUCAAAUUAUCCAUAAUUGAUAAUUAAUAGCAACAAUAUUUUUCUAAAAUUACAACAUGAUUUUUGAAGUUCAGAUAAAAUUAUAUCGAGCCGAAAUCUUAAAAUUUUGGGCGUCGGAGUCCAGAAGCCGGUCCUACCAACGGUGUCGGAAUUCAAAUACGAAAGCGUCUACGCGAAGCUCGAGUUGCAGGGAGUCCGAAAACACAAGAGUUUCGGCCGGAAACUCGUCGGAAGGCACCGGAUCGGGGUCGAAAAGGGGUUGCUCCAAUGAGGCUUGACCGAGGCUGCCGGGGAGGAUUUCACGGUGGGGGAGCUCGACCUAGGGGUUCCGGUGGUGGAGAGCUUGAAUCUGGCGUCGGAUGGCCGAAAAGAGGGCGGCAAAAGGCCGAAACAGCGAUGGCAGCCCCUUUUUCCAUGCGAACGUCGGCAGCGAAGGAAGGAGGAAAAGGAAGGUAGCGCAGCGGCGAGGAGGGGAAGGAGAAAGAGCUGGGCGGCGGCGUUGGCUGCGCUGUGGCCAGAGAAGGCAGAAAUCGGGGAGGGAGAAGGAGCUAGCUUCGGGGAGGAAGGGGAAGGAAGGAAAAGGGAAAGGAGAGGGGGAAGGAAAGAAAAAGGAGGAAAAAGAAAUUAUUAUUAUUAUUAUUAUUAUUAUUAUUAUUAGUAUUAUUAUCAUUUCUGGGUAUUACACUUAGUUCCUACGUUUUAAGUCAUCUAUUAUUAAAAAUCGACACAUAGACGAUAAUUAUUUUAACACAUAAACAUUUGAUAGCUUAUAGAAAAGAGUUACAAAAUAUAAGCAUCGACUCGUAUUUAUUAAAUUGACACAUAAAUUUAAUCUUAUGAUGUGCAAACAUUGUAUAAUUUUUAUUUCUAAUUUUGUCUCUUCCCUUCCAAAUUUACUGAUGAGAGCAAUUUGCUGAUCUUUUUCUUUGUUUGUGACUUGAGAUUCCUAAUUGCAAAAGAGACUAGGGAUCGAUAAGCAAUAGUAGUUGGUCAAAUUCAUAGAAUU